CGAUAUGCUUUGGGGAGCUGUAAGUAAGCUUUGAUCCAGAGAUUUCCGAAUGGGGAAACCCAGCAUGAGUUAUGUCAUGUUAUCGAUAUGUGAAUACAUAGCAUAUCAGAAGGCACACCCGGAGAACUGAAACAUCUUAGUACCCGGAGGAAGAGAAAGAAAAUUCGAUUCCCUUAGUAGCGGCGAGCGAAACGGGAAGAGCCCAAACCAACAAGCUUGCUUGUUGGGGUUGUAGGACACUCUAUACGGAGUUACAAAGGACGACAUUAGACGAAUCAUCUGGAAAGAUGAAUCAAAGAAGGUAAUAAUCCUGUAGUCGAAAAUGUUGUCUCUCUUGAGUGGAUCCUGAGUACGACGGAGCACGUGAAAUUCCGUCGGAAUCUGGGAGGACCAUCUCCUAAGGCUAAAUACUCUCUAGUGACCGAUAGUGAACCAGUACCGUGAGGGAAAGGUGAAAAGCACCCCGGAAGGGGAGUGAAAUAGAACCUGAAACCGUGUGCUUACAAGUAGUCAGAGCCCGUUAAUGGGUGAUGGCGUGCCUUUUGUAGAAUGAACCGGCGAGUUACGAUUUGAUGCAAGGUUAAGCAGUAAAUGUGGAGCCGUAGCGAAAGCGAGUCUGAAUAGGGCGUUUAGUAUUUGGUCGUAGACCCGAAACCAGGUGAUCUACCCUUGGUCAGGUUGAAGUUCAGGUAACACUGAAUGGAGGACCGAACCGACUUACGUUGAAAAGUGAGCGGAUGAACUGAGGGUAGCGGAGAAAUUCCAAUCGAACCUGGAGAUAGCUGGUUCUCUCCGAAAUAGCUUUAGGGCUAGCCUCAAGUGAUGAUUAUUGGAGGUAGAGCACUGUUUGGACGAGGGGCCCCUCUCGGGUUACCGAAUUCAGACAAACUCCGAAUGCCAAUUAAUUUAACUUGGGAGUCAGAACAUGGGUGAUAAGGUCCGUGUUCGAAAGGGAAACAGCCCAGACCACCAGCUAAGGUCCCAAAAUAUAUGUUAAGUGGAAAAGGAUGUGGCGUUGCCCAGACAACUAGGAUGUUGGCUUAGAAGCAGCCAUCAUUUAAAGAGUGCGUAAUAGCUCACUAGUCGAGUGACACUGCGCCGAAAAUGUACCGGGGCUAAACAUAUUACCGAAGCUGUGGAUUGUCCUUUGGACAAUGGUAGGAGAGCGUUCUAAGGGCGUUGAAGCAUGAUCGUAAGGACAUGUGGAGCGCUUAGAAGUGAGAAUGCCGGUGUGAGUAGCGAAAGACGGGUGAGAAUCCCGUCCACCGAUUGACUAAGGUUUCCAGAGGAAGGCUCGUCCGCUCUGGGUUAGUCGGGUCCUAAGCUGAGGCCGACAGGCGUAGGCGAUGGAUAACAGGUUGAUAUUCCUGUACCACCUAUAAUCGUUUUAAUCGAUGGGGGGACGCAGUAGGAUAGGCGAAGCGUGCGAUUGGAUUGCACGUCUAAGCAGUAAGGCUGAGUAUUAGGCAAAUCCGGUACUCGUUAAGGCUGAGCUGUGAUGGGGAGAAGACAUUGAGUCUUCGAGUCGUUGAUUUCACACUGCCGAGAAAAGCCUCUAGAUAGAAAAUAGGUGCCCGUACCGCAAACCGACACAGGUAGUCAAGAUGAGAAUUCUAAGGUGAGCGAGCGAACUCUCGUUAAGGAACUCGGCAAAAUGACCCCGUAACUUCGGGAGAAGGGGUGCUCUUUAGGGUUAACGCCCAGAAGAGCCGCAGUGAAUAGGCCCAAGCGACUGUUUAUCAAAAACACAGGUCUCUGCUAAACCGUAAGGUGAUGUAUAGGGGCUGACGCCUGCCCGGUGCUGGAAGGUUAAGAGGAGUGGUUAGCUUCUGCGAAGCUACGAAUCGAAGCCCCAGUAAACGGCGGCCGUAACUAUAACGGUCCUAAGGUAGCGAAAUUCCUUGUCGGGUAAGUUCCGACCCGCACGAAAGGCGUAACGAUUUGGGCACUGUCUCAACGAGAGACUCGGUGAAAUCAUAGUACCUGUGAAGAUGCAGGUUACCCGCGACAGGACGGAAAGACCCCGUGGAGCUUUACUGUAGCCUGAUAUUGAAAUUCGGCACAGCUUGUACAGGAUAGGUAGGAGCCUUUGAAACGUGAGCGCUAGCUUACGUGGAGGCGCUGGUGGGAUACUACCCUAGCUGUGUUGGCUUUCUAACCCGCACCACUUAUCGUGGUGGGAGACAGUGUCAAGCGGGCAGUUUGACUGGGGCGGUCGCCUCCUAAAAGGUAACGGAGGCGCUCAAAGGUUCCCUCAGAAUGGUUGGAAAUCAUUCAUAGAGUGUAAAGGCAUAAGGGAGCUUGACUGCGAGACCUACAAGUCGAGCAGGGUCGAAAGACGGACUUAGUGAUCCGGUGGUUCCGCAUGGAAGGGCCAUCGCUCAACGGAUAAAAGCUACCCCGGGGAUAACAGGCUUAUCUCCCCCAAGAGUUCACAUCGACGGGGAGGUUUGGCACCUCGAUGUCGGCUCAUCGCAUCCUGGGGCUGUAGUCGGUCCCAAGGGUUGGGCUGUUCGCCCAUUAAAGCGGUACGCGAGCUGGGUUCAGAACGUCGUGAGACAGUUCGGUCCCUAUCCGUCGUGGGCGUAGGAAAUUUGAGAGGAGCUGUCCUUAGUACGAGAGGACCGGGAUGGACAUACCUCUGGUGUACCAGUUGUCGUGCCAACGGCAUAGCUGGGUAGCUAUGUGUGGACGGGAUAAGUGCUGAAAGCAUCUAAGCAUGAAGCCCCCCUCAAGAUGAGAUUUCCCAACUUCGGUUAUAAGAUCCCUCAAAGAUGAUGAGGUUAAUAGGUUCGAGGUGGAAGCAUGGUGACAUGUGGAGCUGACGAAUACUAAUCGAUCGAAGACUUAAUCAA
rnacentral:rRNA from 1 species